rnacentral:rRNA from 1 species
AAAACUAGGAUUAGAUACCCUAUUAUUUAAAAUUAAUUAGUAUUCCUAGGUAGUAUUAGUUAUGGUCUUGAAACUUAAAAAAUUUGGCGGUAUUUUAGUCUAUCCAGAGGAACCUGUUCUGUAAUCGAUAUUCCACGUUGGACCUUACUUAAUAAUGUUUUCAGUUUAUAUACCGUCGUUAUAAGAAUAUUUUAUUAGAAUAAUAAUUUUCUUAAAUUUUUAUUAAAUUUUAUAUCAGAUCAAGGUGUAGCUAAUGAUUAAGUAGAAAUGGGUUACAAUAAAUUUAUUUAUACGGAUUGAAAUAUGAAAAAUUUUAUGAAGGUGGAUUUGGUAGUAAAUUUAUAUA